AGCCACCCGCCUGGACGGUGCCUGGUGCAGUCCUUCCUGGGAAACAUGCAUUUUCACAGCAGCCUGAAGGAGACGGCCACACGGUGCCUUGGAGCCCAUUAAGGUCUACUGUGGCAAGUUCAGGCCAAGAGGGAGCGUGGCAAACGGCGCACAGGGUACGGGGACCUCCAGGUGCUCCUCGUCAAUCCCGGAGCUCGGGUGUCGAGAUCAGAGGACGAAGGGCUCUCCAGCAAGGCCCACUCGGAAGAGCGCGGUGGGAGACGCUGCGAGGCGGGCCCGGUCCGGGCCUGACACAAAGGGGCUGGAAGCUCCCUCCAAACAGUGUCAGCGAAGUAGGCAAAUUAUUGGCCUCAGAAGUGGAGUUCAAGGUGGAAACUUAAGGCAUCACCGGCCCUCGGGCCUCAGAGGGGGACACCUGCUACUCUCGCUGCCCCUCUGAGUCCUGCCUGUCUCCGUUUCGAUUCCCCUCCUGGCGCCCUCAAGACCCCGGGGAGCCCCGGGUUCACCUUCGAGUUCACUUUGUUCCAAAAACUGUCAUUGGACCAAGCUCAACUCACGUGCCCAUCCACGUGCACUGCCGCCAGCUGGGGCCCGGCUUCCUCCAACUGGCCAGGCCCGGGCCACGUGGCCACCCCGGGAGCCAGUAAGAGAGAGUGACUGGACCAGGUGGACCAGGACCAGGUGAGCAGGAUUGGAGCUGGGCAGGUGGGAGGCAGGGCGGCCCAGGACAGGGCCUCGUGCUUCUUCCUGCCCACCCUCCUAGGCAUCCUCCAGAGGCACUUGCCCUGCCCCAUCAGAGCCUUCAGUGGUCCCCGGGCCACCUGUCAGCCACCGGGACACAGAGAUGGGUCAGCCACCGCUCUGCCCACCCAACCCCCACCUCCAGCCUCCACCCCCCAGCCAGUCCUGAGAAAGGAGAGGAGCCUCCGCUGGAGGUGCCCGAGGGAGUACCAGUCAGAUUGCAACCAGGUGCUGGGGGAUGAGGAAGAGGGUGCCAAGCAGAGAAAAGAGGCGAGAUCGAUGCAGGAAGAGAGAAAGGCCAGGGCAAGAGCCGACGCCCGGAAGGGCACAGCUUAGGGAAGCGGAGCCCCACAAGCAAUAGUAAUAAUAGUCACAAGGGCUCGGGCUCCGGCUCCGGCUCCGGCUCAGGGGUGCUGCUUUAUCACCAUCAGCUUCACCACAUCCCCGUGAGACAGGUGCUGGGAAAUUAGUCCCUGGCACUUAGAAAGUCCCAUGUGAUGACAAUUGAGAGCCAUGGAUGAUUUCAGCAAGGGAGAUGAGAAUGAAGAAUCCAAGUAAAAGGAAAAAAAGCAGAGAUGGUCUAGAGCCACAGUGGUCUUCCACCAGCGGUGAUUUACCUUUCGGGGGACAUUUGGCAAUGCCUGGAGACAUUUUUGGUUAUCACAAUCGGGGGGAUGAGGAGGGCAACUGGCAUCUAGUGGAUAGAGGCCAGGAGUGGUGUUAAAUAUCCUGCAAUGCACAGGACAGUCCCCACCACAGAGAAUUACCCAGCCCAAUGUCAAUAGGUCUGAUGUGGAAAAAUCUGGGUUCGGGUUAAAUAUGGGAGCUGAUGCAGAACACAGUAUGUGUUGUUGAGAGGAGGCUGUGGAUAGGACAGGGGCCUUAGGGUGGCCCAAGUCUGGAAGAACCUCCACCCCCCCUACGGCACCACCUUCACCCUCCAACAAAUGGGCAUCCUCCCCUGCUGCUCUGCCCUGUGGUGGGGGGCCGUGGCACAGAAGGGGCUGGCUGGGAGAGACCUGUGUCACCCAGGGGUCUGCGGGCCCUGGCAGACGGUGGCCCACAGUGCCUCUCGCUCCAGCUGCAUGUCCGGCUCCCGAACCAUAGACCUGGCGUGUUCCUCGAGUGGGUGCAGGUGUCCUGUGUCGAUGUGCCACCUGCCACUGGGGAGCCCCAGCCUGGAAACGCCGAUGCCGUGCCACUCAACUUGCAGAUCACAAAGGCCAGUCCUCCGAGUGAGAAAUGUUGAUUUGUUUCAGUUACACGAGCACCGGGGAAAGCAGAGAGGAAAGUGAGCAAAAGAGACAGUGAGUCAAAAACCGUGAAGCCGACUGAGACAGAGACUAGAAGAGCCACCGAGAAAGAACAACACAGAGAGGCUGAGACUAAGCGAUGGAGCCCGAGAUGGAAGGAGACAACUUGAGAGCAGCGGGGAAACACACGCACAGAAAGCGGGAGACCCAAGCAGAGCCGCACGGACGGAGAUUAGCAAAAAAGAAAAAUAAAGAUCGAGAAAGAGCAAAAGAAAGAUUGAGGAGAAGACAAGACGGAGAGCGUGAGCCAGAGAAAUACUUUGCUUCCUCCCCAGCCCCACGGUCCAGAGCCCAGAAACUCUCCGUGGGUUUGCCAUAUUUGAGCCACGAAGCCGGGAAAUGGGGGGGGGCGGCUCCCUCCCUGCAGGUCCGGGACGAGCAAGCCUUGUUCGCAUUAUUGCUGGCAUCCCCUAACUGGACACCAGCCAACAGGAAAUUCCUGGGAGAAAUCUUUCCAUUCUGAGUCUUUUAAAACUUUUUACUUAUUUAUUUUAAUCUCCUUUUUUUUUUUUUCAAGGACCCAAAAGAGAGAAAAAAAAAAAAAAAAGUAAGAAGUUAAGAGGAAGAAAUGAUCCACCUGGUAUAAGAAAAACUUAUCCGGCAGCCGGCCCGGCCAGGCCAGGGGAAGCUCGGGCCGCAUUGUGUCCGCUGCGUCCAUUCUUCCUCUGGAAGGAUUUAUGACCUCACACUCCCAUGACAUCACAAUGCGUUGCCAUGGCCCCGGCUUUAUUAUCGUAAACAAAGAGCCGGUCCUUGGGACACUGGCUGGCUGAGCAGGAGGGGGGAGAAAGAAGGCUCUGUGUAAUGUGUUUUCUUGGGAAGGCAGCUUGUUCGGAAGUCUGAGAAGCUGCAAAAAUAGUUGUACGCACAGUUCCCUCUGUGUAGCCUCCGGACGAGGUUAGGACGAGGACAGAGGGAUGAGGUCAGCUCCCCGCUGGGGGACCCUCCGGCUCAGUGUGCUCUCACUGCCAAAGAGCCGCUUCCCUGGCUGCCCUCGCUGCCCCAAGAAGGAUCCUCAUUCAUUCCCCGGAAGGACGUUGGGCGCCCACUACGUGCCAGGCGCCCACAGAGCUGGAUUAUAGAUGGGGGAGACGCCCGGGCGCGGGCCCUGCGUCUCGCAGAACCUGCACAUCAAUCAACAGGAAUGUGUCAAAUUGUAAUUUGGAUGAAGGGUGCUGUUGGAAGCAAACAGGAAAUGGGGAUGAGAAGAAGGCGGGGAGGAAGCUACUUAGAUGAGCAAUCUAGGAGGGCCUCCCUGAGGAGGUGACGUUUUAGACAAGACCUGAAUGAAGGCCAGCCGUGAAGAGUUGAGGGCAGGUGACAGGCGUCGAGCAAGGACAGCCAAAGCCAGGCUGUGACUGGAGGGUUUGAAAAGAGGAGUCAUUUUUGCUGAAUCCGAGUUAGUAAGACUUCUGGACCCUGCCACAGCCAUGGCUGCAAACCCUCAUUUCCAGCUUGCAGGGAGCUCUGCACAACCGUCAGCCCGGCACUUGGUGAAAGCAAAUUAGCCAGGAGCAGAAACACCUGUAGGACCCGCGCUCCCCGGCCGAGUCAGUUGUGCAAGAAGCAGAUAAGGAAGCUGAGGCCAAGAGAAGUUGAAUAACGUGACCGAGGUCCCAGAACAAGAUCCCAAGCCUGACCUGCCUGACUUCCAACAAAGCCCAUGUUCUCAACCACUGAAGUUUGGCCCGUCGGGGUGCACAGCUGCAGCGGGGGUGGGGGUAGGGGUGGGGGUGGCAAUGGGGAGAGGGGAGGGCUGUCCCCCCUGAACGGAGCUAGGAAGGUGUGAAGUCUGCAGAGCUGUGAGAGCCAGCUUGCAAGCCUGCAAGAGCCCUGGUGUACCAGACACCCAUGGGACGGCAGGCAGGGGAGGACCCUCUGUAUGCUGAGCGACGCCCCAGAUGCUGGAGCCUGCUUUGCAUGUAGGACACACACUUCAGGCUUCUCCAGAGCAGGGUAAGCAAGGCUCGGUUCACACACUACUAACUCAACUGGGUCUGGCUGCUGAUAGGAAAAGCAUCCGGGGGAAAGGGGUGGACCAUUAGGCUGUGCAUCAGGCACCCCAGAUUUUAGAGAAGUGUCACGUUUAACCAAUGUCUAGCCCUUGGCUAAGCACUUUACUCAUCUUGCUUUAUCUAAUUCUCCCAUCGUGUGAUAUUGUAUCCCAUUUUACAGAUGUAGGGACUGAGGCCCAGAAACAUUCCAGUCCUGGUUCUGUGCCCCUGGGUAGAAAUAUGUCUCUGGGCCUUAUUUUCCUCUUAUAAGAAAUGAGAGGAUUGAUCUUAAUCAGGGGUUGAUAUAUUUUUCCUGUAAAGGGUGAGACUAGAAAUACUUUAGGCUUUGUGGAUCACAUCAUCUUUGUCGCAACUGCUCAGCUCUGCCACCAUAACAUAAAAGCAGCCAUAGAUAAUAAGUAAAUGACAAAUGAGCAUGACUGCGUUCCAAUAAAACUUUAUUUACAAAAUAUGAAAUGACAAGUGAGCGUGACUGUGUUCCAAUAAAACUUUACUUACAGGGAUGCCUGG